UAUUAACGCUGGCGGCGUGCCUAAUACAUGCAAGUCGAGCGAACAGACGAGGAGCUUACUCCUCUGACGUUAGCGGCGGACGGGUGAGUAACACGUGGAUAACCUACCUAUAAGACUGGGAUAACUUCGGGAAACCGGAGCUAAUACCGGAUAACAUGUUGAACCGCAUGGUUCAACAGUGAAAGACGGUCUUGCUGUCACUUAUAGAUGGAUCCGCGUCGCAUUAGCUAGUUGGUAAGGUAACGGCUUACCAAGGCAACGAUGCGUAGCCGACCUGAGAGGGUGAUCGGCCACACUGGAACUGAGACACGGUCCAGACUCCUACGGGAGGCAGCAGUAGGGAAUCUUCCGCAAUGGGCGAAAGCCUGACGGAGCAACGCCGCGUGAGUGAAGAAGGUCUUCGGAUCGUAAAACUCUGUUAUUAGGGAAGAACAAAUGUGUAAGUAACUAUGCACGUCUUGACGGUACCUAAUCAGAAAGCCACGGCUAACUACGUG
rnacentral:rRNA from 1 species